UUGGUUUGUGGACAGAGUCUACGCUGUUACCGUCGUUUUCCGACUCACUUUGAAGAAACUUUUUCAAAGUAGUUAUUACCACUUGCGGACCACGCUCCUCUACUUGUAAGUCAGUGAGGGUGCAGACCAGCUACUACAGUCACCAGAAGAGCAGAGACCAUCCCAGGGAAAGAUGCCAGCUCAGAUCAUAAGCGGCAAAGAGGUUUCAGCGCAGGUGAGGGAGCGUCUGAAGGAGGAUGUUGAGCAGAUGAAACUUAAGAAUCCCAACUUCAGGCCUGGUCUAGUGGUUUUACAGGUUGGAGACCGCGAUGAUUCAAAUCUGUACAUCAGCAUGAAGCUCAAAGCAGCAGCAGAGAUUGGAAUAAAUGCAAUGCAUAUGAGACUUCCCACGACCGCAACAGAGGAGGAGAUUCUUCAUAGUAUCACAGAGGUGAACGAGAACUCUUCUGUCCACGGCCUCAUCGUUCAGCUGCCUUUAGAUUCAGUCCACGAAAUCAACACCGAGAAGAUCACGAACGCCGUGGCCCCAGAGAAGGACGUAGAUGGACUGACCAGCAUAAAUGCGGGGAAGCUGUCCCGUGGGGAUCUGGGCGACUGCUUCAUCCCCUGCACGCCAAAUGGCUGCAUGGAGUUAAUCAAACAGACGGGUGUUUCUGUGGCAGGGAAGAGAGCGGUCGUGAUUGGGCGCAGUAAGAUUGUGGGCGCACCCAUGCAUGAUUUGCUGCUGUGGAAUCACGCCACCGUCACCACCUGCCACUCUAAAACCGCCGAUCUUGCCGCAGAGGUGGGUAGAGCAGACAUCCUGGUUGUUGGUAUCGGAAAAGCAGAGAUGGUAAAAGGAGAGUGGAUCAAGAAGGGAGCAGUGGUCAUUGACUGUGGCAUCAACCACGUUAUAGAUGACAGUAAAUCCAGCGGAAAGCGUGUGGUGGGCGACGUCCAUUUUCAGUCAGCCAAAGAGCAGGCCGGCUUCAUCACCCCUGUGCCCGGUGGUGUGGGACCGAUGACUGUGGCCAUGCUGAUGGCGAACACCGUGCUGAGUGCAAAGCGUUUCCUGGAGAGCCAUCAGGCAGGAAAGUGGAACAUUUCUUACACCGCGCUCAAUCUCCAAAAGCCAGUGCCAAGUGACAUAGUGAUUUCUCGCUCCUGCGCAGCCAAGUCCAUUGAUAGUCUGGCCAGAGAAGUGGGAUUACUUUCUGAUGAAGUAGAGCUCUAUGGCAAGACUAAGGCAAAGGUCCAGCUGACUAUCAUCAAGCGCCUUCAGUCCCGGCCAGAUGGAAAAUAUGUAGUGGUCACUGGCAUUACUCCCACUCCUCUGGGUGAAGGUAAGAGCACCACAACCAUCGGCCUGGCACAAGCCAUGGGUGCUCACAUGAAGCUCAAUGUGUUUGCUUGUGUCCGACAGCCUUCUCAGGGACCCACGUUCGGUAUUAAAGGUGGUGCUGCAGGAGGUGGAUAUUCUCAAGUUAUUCCGAUGGAAGAGUUUAAUCUCCAUCUCACUGGUGACAUUCAUGCCAUCACAGCUGCCAAUAACUUGGUGGCGGCUGCUAUUGAUGCCCGCAUAUUCCAUGAAGCAACCCAAUCUGACAAGGCUCUGUAUAACCGUUUGGUGCCACUCAGUGGAAGAGAGAGGAAGUUCUCCCCGAUCCAGAUCAACAGACUCAAAAAACUGGGAAUAGAGAAGACGGAGCCUUCUGCUCUCACUGAGGAGGAGAUCAACCACUUCGCCCGCCUGGACAUCGACCCAAGCUCUGUUACCUGGCAGAGAGUGCUGGAUACUAAUGAUCGAUUCCUGAGGAAGAUCACGAUCGGCCAGUCGCCCACUGAAAAGGGAUACACAAGAGAGGCCCAGUUUGACAUCACUGUGGCCAGCGAAAUCAUGGCGGUGCUUGCCCUCACCAGCAGCCUGGAGGACAUGCGGCAGCGCCUGGCUAAGAUGGUCGUAGCCACCAGUCGGAGGGGAGAUCCCAUCACCACCGAGGAUCUGGGCGUGAGUGGCGCUCUGACUGUGCUGAUGAAAGAUGCCAUCAAGCCAAACCUGAUGCAGACGUUGGAGGGGACUCCUGUGUUUGUUCAUGCUGGCCCCUUUGCCAACAUCGCCCACGGAAACUCAUCAAUCCUGGCUGAUAAAAUUGCUUUGAAGCUGGUUGGACCUGAGGGCUUUGUAGUGACAGAAGCUGGCUUCGGUGCUGACAUCGGCAUGGAGAAGUUCUUCAACAUCAAGUGCCGCUACUCGGGCCUGAGGCCUCAUGUGGUGGUGUUGGUGGCGACCAUCCGAGCUCUAAAGAUGCACGGAGGAGGACCAACAGUCACUGCUGGGAUGCCACUGCCUAAGGAAUAUGUGGAAGAGAACCUUAAUCUGCUGGAGAAGGGCUGCAACAACAUGAGGAAGCAGAUCGAAAAUGCAAAGCACUUUGGCGUGCCUGUGGUGGUAGCAGUGAAUGCUUUCAAGACAGACACGGAUGCUGAGCUGGACUUGGUGUGCACCAUGGCUAAAGCUGCUGGAGCAUUCGAUGCCGUGCGAUGCUCUCACUGGGCCGAGGGUGGCGCUGGUGCUGUGGCACUUGGUGAGGCUGUCCAGAAGGCCUCUAGCGCCCCUAGCAACUUCAAGUUCCUGUAUGAUUUGGACCUUCCUAUUGCUGAUAAGAUUCGAAUAAUUGCUCAGAAGAUCUAUGGAGCAGAUGAUAUUGAGCUUCUGGCUGAGGCCCAACACAAGGUGGCGCUCUACACCAAGCAGGGAUUCGCGAAUCUUCCAAUUUGCAUGGCAAAGACCCACCUGUCACUGUCACAUGAAGCAGAAAAGAAAGGUGUGCCCAAAGGAUUCAUCCUGCCAAUCAGAGACAUCAGAGCCAGUGUGGGCGCUGGCUUUCUGUUCCCGUUGGUUGGCACAAUCUGCAGUCGUAUUCAAGCUUAUAUGUCACUGACGUUUCUACCCAGUCAAUCUAGUUAUCCUUGGAUACUUGGAACAUCAUAACUAAAAAGAAAAUGGCAUGCUACACUAAAAUUGUUUUCAGAUUUGGAGUUGGCAAGUAAAAGUUGUUGAAGUGCAGAUGCCCACCAUCCCUGGCCUCCCCACUCGGCCUUGUUUCUAUGACAUCGACCUGGACCCCGAGACUGAACAGGUCAAUGGACUCUUCUGAGGGACAAAAAAAAAAAGGUCCUCACACCCUUUGAUGACAUUUCCCAUCAGCCCUCUGAGCGCCAAAGAAAUGUGAAGAAGAACCAACUGGAAGCACCUCAAACUCGUCUGCUGUUUUUGUUGUUUCUCAUAUUGACCGUCUGUAAAGCUGCUAAUGAUAGACCGGGACAGUCUUUCUCCCUGCUAUCAGGCACGUGUUAUUCCGUUAUAUUGCUGGCUGAACAUACACAUUUCACACCUCAGAUUGCCCAGGCUGUAUUUACUAACUACUUGUGUAUAUUUUGUGAGCACCACACCAAAGGCAUUUCCUUCAGUUCAAUCUUUAACAAGCUGUGCCCUUCGUCAGGCCAGGACUCUUCGAAAUGCUGCCUUAAAACAAAAUUAUAAUUUGUUUAAUCCCAUCUCCUUUCUCUGUCUUUGUUUUAAUUAACACUCUAACAUUUUUCGAAAAGUCGCCAUCAUUGCCGUGGAGCUCAAUGGCCAUGUCAUUGUAAAAUCAGUGAUUUCCUCAUAUCUUUGAAAUAAAGGCUUGUUAAAAGAAA